UGGGGAAUUUUGGACAAUGGGGGCAACCCUGAUCCAGCCAUGCCGCGUGCAGGAUGAAGGCCUUCGGGUUGUAAACUGCUUUUGUCAGGGACGAAAAGGACCGUGUUAAUACCAUGGUCUGCUGACGGUACCUGAAGAAUAAGCACCGGCUAACUACGUGCCAGCAGCCGCGGUAAUACGUAGGGUGCAAGCGUUAAUCGGAAUUACUGGGCGUAAAGCGUGCGCAGGCGGUUCUGUAAGACAGGUGUGAAAUCCCCGGGCUCAACCUGGGAAUUGCAUUUGUGACUGCAGGACUAGAGUUCAUCAGAGGGGGGUGGAAUUCCAAGUGUAGCAGUGAAAUGCGUAGAUAUUUGGAAGAACACCAAUGGCGAAGGCAGCCCCCUGGGAUGCGACUGACGCUCAUGCACGAAAGCGUGGGGAGCAAACAGG
rnacentral:rRNA from 1 species